rnacentral:rRNA from 1 species
UACGAAGGGGGCUAGCGUUGUUCGGAAUUACUGGGCGUAAAGCGCGCGUAGGCGGUUUUGCAAGCCAGAGGUGAAAUGCCUGAGCUCAACUUAGGAAUUGCCUUUGGGACUGCGAGGCUUUGAGGACUGGAGAGGUGAGUGGAAUUCCCAGUGUAGAGGUGAAAUUCGUAGAUAUUCGCAAGAACGCCAGUGGCGAAGGCGGCUCACUGGCCCGAUACUGACGCUGAGGCACGAAAGCGUGGGGAGCAAACAGG